CCCCGAGCUGAGCGGAGCUCUUUUUGUGAGGAAGUAUGACGAACAGAAAAGCGGGAGCGGAGCGCGGAAAAGGUG
rnacentral:sRNA from 1 species